UUCCGUUUAUAUAUGAUUUCAUGAUGAUGAUGAUGUUAUUGCUUUCGUAUAUUAUUUUUUAUGAACUUCACCGAGGUAAGUGAAUGGUAAAGGUUUUAUUAUUGAUAAAAGGAUUUGUUGUAAAUUAUGCUCCAUUGGUCUUUAUGUGUUUUCUACCCACCUUUACCUCCGUGACGGUGAGAUAUCGUGAUGUCCUUACUGAGCUAGUGUAGCUCAUUCCUUAUUUAAUCAUUUCAGAUCAGGAAGACAUUGUUCCCGAGCCGGUUCCGCAGGAGGACGACAAAGGGGACGUCUAAGGACUCCAUAGUCAUAUUCGCAGCUUUUACUUUCAAGUUUUCUCCUUUAGAUAGUUUGAUCUUUUAUAUUGUGAACACAUUUUUGGUUUU
rnacentral:lncRNA from 1 species